GGGCCCGCACAAGCGGAGGAACAUGUGGUUUAAUUCGAUGAUACGCGAGGAACCUUACCCGGGCUAGAACGUAGGGAGACCGAUGGGGAAACUCAUUUUUCAGCAAUGACUGCCUACGAGGUGCUGCAUGGUUGUCGUCAGCUCGUGCCGUGAGGUGUCGGCUUAAGUGCCAUAACGAGCGCAACCCUUAUUGUUAGUUGCCAGCGGGUCAAGCCGGGGACUCUAGCAAAACUGCCAGCGUAAGCUGUGAGGAAGGUGGGGAUGACGUCAAAUCAGCACGGCCCUUACGUCCGGGGCGACACACGUGUUACAAUGGAUGGUACAGAAGGUCGCUACCACGCGAGUGGAUGCUAAUCUUAAAAGCCAAUUCUCAGUUCGGAUUGGAGUCUGCAACUCGACUCCAUGAAGCUGGAUUCGCUAGUAAUCGCGCAUCAGCCAUGGCGCGGUGAAUACG
rnacentral:rRNA from 1 species